UACGUAGGGGGCAAGCGUUGUCCGGAAUUAUUGGGCGUAAAGGGCGCGUAGGCGGCCUGCCAAGUCGGGUGUGAAAUCCCUCGGCUCAACCGAGGAACUGCACUCGAUACUGGCUGGCUAGAGUCCGGGAGGGGAUGGUGGAAUUCCCAGUGUAGCGGUGAAAUGCGUAGAUAUUGGGAAGAACACCGGUGGCGAAGGCGGCCAUCUGGACCGGAACUGACGCUGAGGCGCGAAAGCCAGGGGAGCGAAUGGG
rnacentral:rRNA from 1 species